GAUGAACGCUGGCGGCGUGCCUAAUACAUGCCAGUCGAGCGAACGGACGAGAAGCUUGCUUCUCUGAUGUUAGCGGCGGACGGGUGAGUAACACGUGGAUAACCUACCUAUAAGACUGGGAUAACUUCGGGAAACCGGAGCUAAUACCGGAUGAUAUUUUGAACCGCAUUGUUCAAAAGUGAAAGACGGUCUUGCUGUCACUUAUAGAUGGAUCCGCGCUGCAUUAGCUAGUUGGUAAGGUAACGGCUUACCAAGGCAACGAUGCAUAGCCGACCUGAUAGGGUGUUAGGCCACAUUGGAACUGAGACACGGUCCAUGCUCUACCGGGAGGCAGCAGUAGGGAAUCUUCGACAUUGGUCGAAAGCCUGACGGAGCAACGCCGCGUGGGUGAUGAAGGUCUUCGGAUCGUAAAACUCUGUUAUUAGGGAGGAACAUAUGUGUAAGUAACUGUGCAUAUCUUGACGGUACCUGAUCAGAAAGCCACGGCUAACUACGUG
rnacentral:rRNA from 1 species